rnacentral:rRNA from 1 species
ACUGCUCAGUAACACGUGGAUAACCUGCCCUUGGGUCCGGCAUAACCCCGGGAAACUGGGGAUAAUUCCGGAUAACGCAUAUAUGCUGGAAUGCCUUAUGCGUAAAAUGGAUUCGUCUGCCCAAGGAUGGGUCUGCGGCCUAUCAGGUAGUAGUGGGUGUAAUGUACCUACUAGCCGACAACGGGUACGGGUUGUGAGAGCAAGAGCCCGGAGAUGGAUUCUGAGACAUGAAUCCAGGCCCUACGGGGCGCAGCAGGCGCGAAAACUUUACAAUGCGGGAAACCGUGAUAAGGGGACACCGAGUGCCAGCAUCAUAUGCUGGCUGUCCAGGUGUGCAAACUACACCUGUUAGCAAGGGCCGGGCAAGACCGGUGCCAGCCGCCGCGGUAACACCGGCGGCCCGAGUGGUGAUCGUGAUUAUUGGGUCUAAAGGGUCCGUAGCCGGUUUGGUCAGUCCUCCGGGAAAUCUGACGGCUCAACCGUUAGGCUUUCGGGGGAUACUGCCAGGCUUGGAACCGGGAGAGGUAAGAGGUACUACAGGGGUAGGAGUGAAAUCUUGUAAUCCCUGUGGGACCACCUGUGGCGAAGGCGUCUUACCAGAACGGGUUCGACGGUGAGGGACGAAAGCUGGGGGCACGAACCGGAUUAGAUACCCGGGUAGUCCCAGCCGUAAACGAUGCUCGCUAGGUGUCAGGCAUGGCGCGACCGUGUCUGGUGCCGCAGGGAAGCCGUGAAGCGAGCCACCUGGGAAGUACGGCCGCAAGGCUGAAACUUAAAGGAAUUGGCGGGGGAGCAC